rnacentral:rRNA from 1 species
CAAAUGAAUUGACGGGACCGCACAAGCAGCGGAGCGUGUGGUUUAAUUCGUUGCUACACGAAGAACCUUACCUGGGUUUGACAUAUAGGUUGUAGGGAACUGAAAAGGGACCGACCCUUCGGGGAGCCUAUACAGGUGUUUGCAUGGCUGUCGUCAGCUCGUGUCGUGAGAUGUUCGGUUAAGUCCGCUAACGAGCGCAACCCUCGUCGUAUGUUAUAUGUGUCAUACGAGACUGCCGGUAAAAAGCCGGAGGAAGGUGAGGAUGAUGUCAAGUCAGCAUGACCUUUAUAUCCAGGGCUACACACACGCUACAAUGGUCUGUGCAAUGGGUAGCCAAGCCGCGAGGCGGAGCCAAUCCUGAAAGCAGGCCUCAGUUCAGAUUGCAGUCUGCAACUCGACUGCAUGAAGCCGGAGUUGCUAGUAACCGCAGGUCAGCAAUACUGCGGUGAAUACGUUCCCGGGUCUU